AUGCGCUGCCCUCCCGCCGACCACCCUGGAUGGCAGUUCGACUACAGCUUGAACGGCGAGAUCCACAUCGCCCACCGGAAGCAGUGAGCCAGCUACAGCCCAUUCAGGCAGGCCCUGUCCCUCUUCCCCGACACCCAGAUCUUGUCCGACGGCAGCUACCUUGAGUUCCACACGCUCUCCCACCAGGAGGAGCAGGGGCUGCAGCGCGUGGUCUGUGUCCGUCGCAACCGCUCGUGGACGCGGGCGCGCAUCGCCGUGUUCUCAUCACACACCAUGAAGUGGCAGAUUUUUCCAUGGGUGGAAACAAGGGCCCUGGUGCCCAAUGACGCCAGCUCCUUCAAACGUGGCAAGGUGGUUGAUGGAUUCGUGUACUGGACAUUGGGGAAGGGAGCCUCCGGUAUGCUAGUGCUCAAUACAGCAACAUCUCAGUUCUACCUAAUUGAUGUGCCGUCACCCUUGAAAGAAGGCUGGAUGAUCUUUACUACAUUCAAGCUUGGCAAGACCAAGGAAGGGAAGGACGAGGAGCAGAAUCUUUUUGUUUGGUUGUGGGGAAAAGAUGGUGAUGGUGUGGAGAGAUGGAUGCUGGACAAGUCGUUUCCGUUGCGCAAGAUUGUUGAGGUCAUCAAGUGUUCAAUGGUAGUUCAUGCUGAAGCAAGAAUUUUGGCUGUCAUUGAUGGCUUUGUGUACCUGUCGAUCGACUGCCAUGCGUAUGCUGAAUGUCAGAAUUAUAGUACUUCCCCAGAGUGGAUAUUAUCAUUAUGCCUAGAAACAACAGAGGUGCAUCAGCUCUAUGAGGGCCAGUGUCAGAGUUAUGUUUGUGUCCAUCCCUACGUCAUGCCGUGGCCUCCUUGUUUGGUACACAGCAAGGUAAGCCCAUGCUUAUGUGGGAUGAUGUCCGUGAAGUUUCUACCUACGGCGGACGCCCCUGGAUCUGCAGUGGCGGCCCUUCUUGGCGAGGCAACGGCUUCCUCCUCGGCUGGAGCCGGUUGCGGGUGA
rnacentral:rRNA from 1 species